CAGUCGCCACGGUAACACCGAGGAUGCAAGCGUUAUCCAGAAUGAUUGGGCGUAAAGCGUCUGUAGGUGGCUUUUCAAGUCCGCUGUCAAAUCCCAGGGCUCAACACUGGACAGGCGGUGGAAACUACCAAGCUAGAGUACGGUAGGGGCAGAGGGAAUUUCCAGUGGAGCGGUGAAAUGCGUUGAGAUCGGAAAGAACACCAACGGCGAAAGCACUCUGCUGGGCCGACACUGACACUGAGAGACGAAAGCUAGGGGAGCAAAUGGGAUUAGAUACCCGCGUAGUCCCUGUCUCUUAUAC
rnacentral:rRNA from 1 species